ensembl:lncRNA
UUAAAAUGUUUCGCAGAUAAAACCUACACUUGGAAGCUUUAUUUUUAGGAGUGUACUUUGGUAGAGAGGUUCUUCACAUGAGAAGAUCCUCACUCACAGUGGAGCUGCAUUUGCACAGCCUGACUGCAGACAGGUUUCCCAAGGUGUUUUACCCCAGCUUUAAUCUAUAUUAAAUGAUUUAGUUUCACAAGAUGAAAGCCUGUUGUUUGUUUAACAAAACUUUCCCAGGUACAGUCACUGCCUGAAGCCUGCCAAAGGUUGAAGAUACAGAGAGAGAGCGAGAGAGUUUGCACAACCCAAACAAUGUUCUUCAGGCGUUCUAGAAAUUGGAAUCAGUGCUGCUCGUUCUUAUAUAUUAAACAUAUGUAAGCAUAUAUAGAAGCAUUACUGUAUUCAAACCUGCCUACGAGGGGCAAAUUUAUCAGCAAGUCCUCAGCGUUCUUGACGGGUCAAAGGGACCUUUUCAUUAGCCGUAAUGCUGGGAAGAGAUCUGCCGUAGUGUGGGAGAUGGAAUAAUUGUUUGGAAUGGGGAUUCUCAGUGGACUCUUCUGAGCUUGUCAGCUGGUGUUUGAAGUGUGCUCUGACAUUGGGAAAGGGGUUGAGCAGGAAACAGGCUCUCAAAUGGAAAAGGGAGGAGAGCGAAAGAGAACAGAAGAGGAAAGACAAAGGUGACUUCACAGAACUUAGACUAAGCUUAAGAACCUCAAGGACCCGGAAAAAAGACCUUGAGAUUUCCACUGGCUCAUCACUUAUUCUACACUCAGGUGUGUCUCUCUCUUCUUCUGAAAGUAAAGAAAGUAACCAAUGUACUUUCAGGAAUUUGAACAAGAUAUGAAACACCACAGGGCCUGCAAACGUCCCUUCUGGGGUGGGAUUGUGUGCAGCUGAUUGUUUCGUUGUGUUCACAAAAGCGUGCUGUGGCCAAGAAGAUGCCCUUCAGUCUGAGGUGGAUGUAUUUUUUUUAUUGUAUAAAGCGCUUUAUAAAUAAAGGUGACUGGCUGUUUUGAGUUUAUCUUAGU